rnacentral:rRNA from 1 species
UACGUAGGGUCCGAGCGUUGUCCGGAGUUACUGGGCGUAAAGCGCGCGCAGGCGGCGGUGUUGGCCCGGCGUGAAAGCCCCCGGCUUAACCGGGGAGGGUCGUCGGGUACCGCACCGCUUGAGGGCGGUAGGGGCUGGUGGAAUGCCUGGUGUAGUGGUGAAAUGCGUAGAGAUCAGGCGGAACACCCGUGGCGAAGGCGGCCAGCUGGGCCGUCCCUGACGCUGAGGCGCGAAGGCGUGGGGAGCGAACGGG